rnacentral:tRNA from 1 species
AAUUAAUAAGUAUAUUUGUACAUUUGAUUUCCAAUCAAAUAGAGGAUUUAUAA